AAUCCACUAACAUCCCCACUUUUACACCCACUCAAACACCGCUCAAAACGCCUGCUCCCUCCUCCCUCUUCCCUCUCAUCAAAAGAGAGGGUGGAUUUCAGUAUACCCUUGUUCUAAUUGGAACAAAGCUUUCAAAGAUUAAUUAGGAUUUUAAUGUAAAUUUGUGUUUUUUCAAUUGAAAGCUUCAAAGAUCAAUGGAUUGGAGUUGUUUUUCUCGAGAUGCUUACUUCACAGUCACCGGAAGUAAAUUUAUGAAACUUGUGACAUUUAUUCUGCAUAUUUUUCGUAGUAUUCACGUGUUAUUUAUUAGUGAUGAGUUGGUGGAGGAGGUGUGAGUGGUGACAAUGGGGGAUGCCCCAAAGGAUUGGGGGGUCUAUGCAAAAUCACUUUACGGAGCUUAAGGCACUUUGGUGGAGCUCCAACGGCCUAGUUUCUUAUAAAGUUUGACGAGUUGAUGAAGGACACAUGGAUCAAAUUUGUGGAAGAAUAUAAGUUAGCGGAUAAGGAGGCUAGUAGUCAACGUCUUUUUAUUUCAAUUAUUUGGAACUUUAAUAUAUUAGGAAGCAUGUAUGUUCAAAUAUUUGU